rnacentral:rRNA from 1 species
UACGGAGGGUGCAAGCGUUAUCCGGAUUCACUGGGUUUAAAGGGUGCGUAGGUGGGCAGGUAAGUCAGUGGUGAAAUCUCCGGGCUUAACCCGGAAACUGCCAUUGAUACUAUCUGUCUUGAAUACCGUGGAGGUGAGCGGAAUAUGUCAUGUAGCGGUGAAAUGCUUAGAUAUGAACAUAGAACACCAAUUGCGAAGGCAGCUCACUACACGAAUAUUGACACUGAGGACGAAAAGCUGGGGAGCCAAACAGG